rnacentral:rRNA from 1 species
UACGAAGGGGGCUAGCGUUGCUCGGAAUCACUGGGCGUAAAGCGCACGUAGGCGGAUUGUUAAGUCAGGGGUGAAAUCCUGGAGCUCAACUCCAGAACUGCCUUUGAUACUGAAGAUCUUGAGUCCGGGAGAGGUGAGUGGAACUGCGAGUGUAGAGGUGAAAUUCGUAGAUAUUCGCAAGAACACCAGUGGCGAAGGCGGCUCACUGGCCCGGUACUGACGCUGAGGCACGAAAGCGUGGGGAGCGAACAGG